rnacentral:rRNA from 1 species
UGGGGAAUAUUGCACAAUGGGCGCAAGCCUGAUGCAGCCAUGCCGCGUGUAUGAAGAAGGCCUUCGGGUUGUAAAGCACUUUCAGCGGGGAGGAAGGCGUUAAGGUUAAUAACCUUGGCGAUUGACGUUACCCGCAGAAGAAGCACCGGCUAACUCCGUGCCAGCAGCCGCGGUAAUACGGAGGGUGCAAGCGUUAAUCGGAAUUACUGGGCGUAAAGCGCACGCAGGCGGUCUGUCAAGUCGGAUGUGAAAUCCCCGGGCUCAACCUGGGAACUGCAUGCGAAACUGGCAGGCUAGAGUCUUGUAGAGGGGGGUAGAAUUCCAGGUGUAGCGGUGAAAUGCGUAGAGAUCUGGAGGAAUACCGGUGGCGAAGGCGGCCCCCUGGACAAAGACUGACGCUCAGGUGCGAAAGCGUGGGGAGCAAACAGG